UACGUAGGGGGCAAGCGUUGUCCGGAAUCAUUGGGCGUAAAGAGCGUGUAGGCGGCUCGAUAAGUCUGCUGUGAAAGUCCAGGGCUCAACCCUGGAAGGCCGGUGGAAACUGUCGGGCUCGAGUCCGGAAGAGGAGUGUGGAAUUCCUGGUGUAGCGGUGAAAUGCGCAGAUAUCAGGAGGAACACCAAUGGCGAAGGCAGCACUCUGGGACGUGACUGACGCUGAGACGCGAAAGCGUGGGGAGCAAACAGG
rnacentral:rRNA from 1 species